GUCUGUCACAAGCUCUCCUUUCCCGCAGAAGGCACGUCGUUGACGCCUUGCUGUAGUGAGCCCGGGUGGACCGCGAGGUUCGCUGUACUUGGGGGCGCAGAAGGAAGCUGGACCUCAAUAUGAAUUAUUCAGAUGCUGCCUUUGAUUCUGCACAGCCAAGAAAAACUGACAUGACAGCCACAGAAUGCAGGGACUACUCCUUUCCUUGUG